rfam:Basidiobolus meristosporus CBS 931.73 K493scaffold_670, whole genome shotgun sequence.
GCCUGCUUAGCGCAGUGGUAGCGCGUCAGUCUCGUAAACUAAAGGUCGCCAGUUCAAUCCUGGCAGUAGGCA